UACAGAGGUCUCAAGCGUUGUUCGGAUUCAUUGGGCGUAAAGGGUGCGUAGGCGGCGCGGUAAGUCGGGUGUGAAAUUUCGAGGCUUAACUUCGAAACUGCAUUCGAUACUGCCGUGCUUGAGGACUGGAGAGGAGACUGGAAUUUACGGUGUAGCAGUGAAAUGCGUAGAUAUCGUAAGGAAGACCAGUGGCGAAGGCGGGUCUCUGGACAGUUCCUGACACUGAGGCACGAAGGCCAGGGGAGCAAACGGG
rnacentral:rRNA from 1 species